rnacentral:misc_RNA from 1 species
UUCCCAUAACCUGGAAUAAGA